rnacentral:pre_miRNA from 1 species
UUUCAAGAGUGAUUUGGUUUGGGGUUUUAAUUUGCAAAAAUUUGAAGUCAAUGUGUGCUAUUCGCAUAAAGACUUCAAUUUUUUUGCAAAUUAAAACCCCAAACCAGUAAUUCCUAAUCAUG